rnacentral:lncRNA from 1 species
UCAUGAAUAACUAAUAAAAUGACUGCAUGCAUCGUUCAGAUGCAGAGGCUGAGGGUCUUCCUCAUUUUCUAAAAAAAAGUGUAAUAUAAAAUAAUAACUAAAGUAAUAACUCCACCAUUGUAGGGACAGAGACCCAAUGACUAGCCUCUGGCCAAUCACGCCGUGACUGACGGGCAGCUAGCCGUUGGAUGAAGGGUAUGCAACCCAAAUUUAAAACAGUACAAAAACAUUGUGGUUGACACUGUAGACGAACACUGUAGACCAAGUACUGUAUACAUAGUCCUGUAGACGGAGUUGCUAUAUCUUGGGUUUAGUUCAGGCGGACCCGUCAGUUGAUCUUUGAUCCAACGGUCUAGAGAAAAGGGUUAGUCACCGUAUUGUUCACCGGUGAUUCAUCCACAGCAAAUGAAUGAAUCUCGGUCCCCAUUGUAGACGAGCAUGAGCAUUGCAUUCUGUAGAUUACUAGUCUCAGUCCAAACACUCCACGUCGAAGAUGUCUCCACCUGUCCCCUUGUUUACUCGCUUCACAUGGGGGACACCGCGACGGCAGGGCCCGGAUCCGAAACCGAAAGGCAGGUUCUAUUUAAAAGUUCGGUACCCGGACUGUUGUUACAGUUAUGGUCGACCCGCAACUGACUCGCCACUCCCUACUCCCUCCUACUGCACGCACAGUGGCAACCGCCGACGGUAGCCCACCGAUGAG